GCUAAACCUGGCUACCAAAACCGAAAAGAAACAGUAGAGGGAAAAGAAAGAGCGGCAGACUGUCACCCAGUUCUUCGCAAAGAAAGGAGCUGUUACAGAUGCAGCUUCAUCCUCAGCAGGCCUGUGUAACCCCCCACCCCCGAUGGCCCAGCCCGACUCCCAGCUGAUGGAGGAGCUCAGAGCCUCUCAUGGUGCAUUGCUCAUUACUGGACGGACCCCCUUCAGGCCCGUGUGAUGGCGUCGACCCAC